rnacentral:SRP_RNA from 2 species
GCUGGGCGUGGUGGCUCACGCCUGUAAUCCCAGCACUUUGGGAGGCCGAGGCAGGCGGAUCACCUGAGGUCGGGAGUUCAAGACCAGCCUGACCAACAUGGAGAAACCCUGUCUCCA